rnacentral:rRNA from 1 species
GUGGGGAAUAUUGGACAAUGGGGGGAACCCUGAUCCAGCCAUGCCGCGUGUGUGAAGAAGGCCUUUUGGUUGUAAAGCACUUUAAGCGAGGAGGAGGCUACCGAGAUUAAUACUCUUGGAUAGUGGACGUUACUCGCAGAAUAAGCACCGGCUAACUCUGUGCCAGCAGCCGCGGUAAUACAGAGGGUGCAAGCGUUAAUCGGAUUUACUGGGAGUAAAGCGCGCGUAGGUGGCCAAUUAAGUCAAAUGUGAAAGCCCCGAGAGUAACUUGGGAAUUGCAUUAGAUACUGGUUGGCUAGAGUAUGGGAGAGGAUGGUAGAAUUCCAGGUGUAGCGGUGAAAUGCGUAGAGAUCUGGAGGAAUACCGAUGGCGAAGGCAGCCAUCUGGCCUAAUACUGACACUGAGGUGCGAAAGCAUGGGGAGCAAACAGGAUUAGAUACCCUGGUAGUCC